AAGAGAUCAGACUCCCUCCAUUAAUUCAUAAGAGUAACAGAGUUUCAUAAAAGGUGCAUGUUAAUAUACAUCAUUAUCAUUAGGUUUAUGACUCUAAGCAGGUGUUUGGAGAGGUUGGACUUGCGAGCAAAGCUGAGAAAGCAGUGGGGGCAGGAAUAACGUUUCCCCUUGUGGAUCUCAUGUGGCCGUUCACAUGACUCUGUUCAUAAAAGCUUUUCCACACUCUGGCAGGAGUAUGGCUUUACGUCACGGUGAUUGUGGGUCCUCAUGUGCAGCAGAGAAGCAGAGCAGAUAAAGGUUUGUGGCAUUCCGAACAUUCAAAAGGCCUCUCCCCGGUGUGAGGCGCUUGUGUUUGGUUAGAUCUCCAGACUGAGUGAAGCUUUUUACCGCACUCGGUACAGGUGUAUGGUUUCUCACCUGUGUGAGUGCGCGGGUGGUUCUUCAGGUGGUCGAGUCGGGCAAACUGCUUGUCACACACUGUGCAGUGGUAAGGCCUCUCACCGGUGUGUGAGCGCAGGUGUACGUUCAGCACCCCAAUCCUUAUGAAUUUCUGCCCACAAACCCCACAAUGGUAGUUUUCUGGUUGUUGUGAAUCUUCAGAUGCGUCUUCAGAUAACCUUUGUCAGCAAAGUCUUUAACACACAGACAGUACUUGAAAGGUCUCCGCCCGGAGUGUGUGCGCAGGUGAAGCUUCAGAUGCGUCUUCAGAUAACCUUUGUCAGCAAAGUCUUUACCACAGACAGUACAUUUGAAAGGUCUCGCCCCGGAGUGUGUGCGCAGGUGAAGCUUCAGACUCUCCCUGUAUGCAAACUGCCUGUCGCAUUGGGAGCAGGAGUACUUCCUCUCACCAGAGUGAACAGUCCUGUGCUUCCUGAGGAGGUACUUCUGCUUGAAACCCUUCCACAGUCUGACAUUUGAAUGGCUUGACCCCAUUGUGUAUUAACAAGUGAUACGGUAAGCGCCUGUACCUGAGAGCGCUUGCCACACUCCUUGCAGACAUAAGGCUUUUCUCCAGUGUGGAUGGCAUGUGAGUGUUCAGGCUCGUAGGAGUAGUGAGGAUCUUGCCACAAUCUAAGCAUUGGAAGCCGACUUCCUUAAUGACCAUCUGUUUAGCGUCCUUAGGUUUUUUGCCCUCUGGUUCGUGACACCGGUGAGGCCCCAGCCCCAGCCAUUCUCAAGCUCUUCUCACAGUCUGCGCAACUGAUGUGUCCAUUGGUGAGAACAACAGCCAUUUUGUGCAAACUCUUGCAGUGCUUCAGCAGGCUGCCCAGGUACUUGAAUCUGCGGGGCACUGUGGGCAGGUGUGGAAUUUUCCUGUACCCUGUGGGGACGGCCAGUUUCUCGGGGAGGGGCAGGUUUCUGGGGACGGGCAGAGGGGUGGGCCUGGCGGGUGUGGAUGUCUAGCUGUCUGGUGUAUGGAACAUGCAGCUACAGUGGGAACGCUGUGUGUGGGGCCGUACACUAUUUUACUCUUUGAGACUUGGUUCUCAAUGGCUAGGUACUGCUUCUGGUGUUUGGUCUUGAUGUGGUUCUCCAGGAAGUAACAGUCAGUAAAGGGAUGGUGCAGUGUGGACAAGGAAAGAACUGAGGAGAACCUGAGAGUGAGGGUAGAGGGAGAAGAGAUGGGUACGUAAGAGGGGAGAAAAAAAUGGCAAUGAUAAUUUCCAUUCAAUAGUCCUUGCCAAUAUUAAUAUGAAUGUUCCAGUAACCAUCACCCAUUUAAACUGCACUGUGUGGUAGACUGGAGUAUGUUAAACAGUAUGUCCUGCCUCCAUGGUUGUCUUCAUCCCUCCUGACAUCCGUCACCUCCUUCACCAAACACACUUUAAUGUCUUCAGAAGUGUCUUAACCACCACCUUAUGGAUUAGAAAGAUACAGAAACUACAAGUAUGCAUUAACAAUCUUGCCAUAAUACUAGGCCAUUAGAAAAAACUAAUCCUACUUACCUCAGCCAACUGGUUGCACUACCCAGGAUCCUUGGAGUGGACUAGAAUCUGAAUGAUGAGUUGAACUGGUGCUUCUUUGAGAGUGCUUGGGUACAAUAUCUAUCAUCUCUGCCGGUGGAGUCAUCACCUGACUGUGGGUCUGUUCUGUUUGUGUUAUACCCAGGUUUCCAUGGCGUUUAGUCCCCAUGGUUUUUUGUGCAGUGGCGUAGUUUUUGAACGUUGUUUGAUCUUCAUCUUGUUGACUAAAGUGCCUCUAAUAUCCUCCUUACUGACAUUCUGAGGGAAAAGAGAAGCAGUUUCAGGCUGAUGCUCAUGAACAAAGAUGAGCUAGACUGGUCAGGA
rnacentral:lncRNA from 1 species